rnacentral:SRP_RNA from 1 species
GCUGGGCAUGGUGGCUCAUGCCUGUAAUCCCAACACUUUGGGAGGCUGAGGCAGGUGGAUCACCUGAGGUCAGGGGUUCGUGACCAGCCUGGCCAACAUGGUGAAACUCUGUCUCUA